GGGUAUGGGUAUUUAGGAAAAGACCGUUAUCUUUAGGUGAUAAAAAGGGGGAAAUAUUGGUUGGUUAGGGGAGGAAUAGGAGAACGAAAUGAAGAAGGAAGAUCGGAAGGAGAGCUUGGUCGAGGAAAUCCGUGGUGUGUGUGUUUUGUGUCAGGAGAUUACCAAACCAGGUAUGUGAAGAUAAGUAUUAGGAUAGGAAUGAAUAAGUAUCUGUUGAUUCGUUCUGCAUACGAUGGUGUUAGGGUGGGAAUAAUACAUUCGAUCGAGGAUGAUCGGAGUAGAUCCGAUUCUCGACGGAAUUAAGUUCGAUUUCAUCGGAACCCAUUCUGAUCUCACCAGAACCGUGAAUUCUGGUCUAGAUUCUCGGGGAGGUUGUAGUGGUACCGAUUUAUAAAUAUUGAUUUAUUUUGCUCGAAAUAGUUAAACUGAUUUUUUUUAUGAUAACUUGAGAAUACUGAUUUUAAUGAAUCGAUUAAUCUUUGCUAUGAGAUGAUGAAUGUGAUGUAAAGAUGAUGAAGGUCUAAGAUUAAAUGACAAUUAACAGAAUAUUUAAUUAACUGUGCAUGAGUACGUCGAUGGGUUGUUAAAAAAUACAUGAAUAGUUUAUUAUUUAAAGCAUGUGAAGUGUGGGGAGAUUGAUGAAUGAAUGAUGAUGUAAAGACCGAUGUAUUGGAAAUGCAUGACUUAUUUGUUGCUAAAGAUAAUACUAGAUGUCAUGGGUGGUAGUACCAGGGAUUUUAUCAACCGGAAUGCAUGAUUGAAUUAACACGAAUUUCAAAUGUGAGGGAAUAAUGAAUGAGAAUAAAAGUUAGAUGAAUCUUGGUAACGUUCACUAAUAUAGAAACCUUUGGUUAGUUUGUUCUUGUAAAUGUUAGAUGAUCAGGUUUAAAAUAUCAGGAAAGUCUGAAUAUGUAGUCUAGGAUAUUAAAGCAUUGUACCAUUACAUUGACAUUCUAGUCUGAUAUCGAAUUGCUAUGUGAUUGUCAUAUCGAACUGUUAUUUAAUUGUGAUCUUGAAUUGCUAUUUACAUGCGAUAUUGAAUUGAUGAAUAAAUGAAAAUGAUAGGAAUGUUUUGACAUCCAGUGUGCGGGCAGCUUCCGGUAGAAUUCAAGACGGCAGUGACCGGAAUUGGGCGCAAACUGAGAGCGCAAGAAUUGGAGGAAACCUCUAGGAUUUCUCAAACUAACGGUAGCCUAGAGUUAGUUGGAACAGUUUAGUAAAGAGUAGGUUUAGGCUAAUGAGUGUGUAAACUUUAUUAAUUAAUCAAAAGUUUACACUUUUGUAUUUAUAAUCCAUUAACAUAACUAACUAAUUGUAUUACAUUAAUAUUUAUAUUACAUCAACUAGUUAGUCCAGUCCAUCGCCGGCCUUUUAUUCAAUUGGCCCAUUAAAAAUUAAUUGAAACUUUUGCAGUCUUUGUCCCAAGCUUUCUUGUUAUAACAUUCUUAUAUAUUUAUUGAAACUUUUGCUUUAUUCACCUCAAGUUUAUCUAUUAUAACUUAUGACAGUCUUGGGUUAUUUAUCUGCAUAGUGAACUUAAAC
rnacentral:lncRNA from 1 species